ACGGCCACAUCACAUUGAAACACCUGUUCCCGUGCGAUCAACGAAUUUAAGCAACGUCGAACCUGGUCAGUACCAAGAUGGGUGACCGUUUAAGAAUACCAGGUGCUGUAAG